rnacentral:rRNA from 1 species
UACGUAGGGACCGAGCGUUGUCCGGAAUCAUUGGGCGUAAAGAGCGUGUAGGCGGCCUUUUAAGUCCUGCGUGAAAUCCUGCGGCUCAACCGCAGACGGUCGUGGGAAACUGGAAGGCUAGAGUGCGGGAGAGGAGAGUGGAAUUCCCGGUGUAGCGGUGGAAUGCGUAGAGAUCGGGAAGAACAUCAGUGGCGAAGGCGGUUCUCUGGGACGGUACUGACGCUGAGACGCGAAAGCCA